CAUCUCCUCUUCCCCACUGUGGGGCCUGUCACUCAACCCUUACUCGCUCAAUUCAUCUCUGUCAGGACACUGCUGACAACGCUGUUUGAUGACCUCUGUUGGCUCCUCAGGUGUCACAUCACAAAGCCCCAAUGGUCUGUAUGCAGUAUCAUUGUUCUCAAUGAGAAUCAUCAACUCAAUGGAGACCCGCUAAUGCCAUGCUCUCGUGCAGAUGUAAGGGUGAACACAAGGCUGUUUUCCGUGCAUUUCACAUUGAGGGUUUGUUUUAAAUACUAUGAAAUGGUAUAGUUUGAGUGAUUACACAUCAUGUGUUUAGCAGUAAAGGUCAAAAGCUAUUUGUCAUUAAGAGCUCUGCUUAAUAGAUGGUUUUGAAAAGGCUGUUUGGCACAUUCAAAAAGGUAGCAAACAUUAUCAAGGACACUGUGAUCUAGUAGAGCUUUCUGUGGUCUAUGCCCAUCUAAGGUAAAGCGUGAAGCCGGUAUUAUACGAUUACUGUUGCCAUGAGGAUGUGGGCAGAGUGGUGCAUCUUUAGUAGAGCUCCGUACAGGACAAUCACGAGGGGAGAGAGAGAGGUGCAAGGAGGCAGCCACUGAAGCAGAACAACAUCUGCACACAGUACGCAGGCCUUCUGCAUUAACACAAGGCUCCUGCCGUGCAGCGCAUCGCGGCCUAGCAGGCUGUGACCUCCUACAGGCUCAAGAGGAGCUCUUCCUCUUAAAAGCCAGCUGUGCCCUUCUCUCUGCCAGCCAAACACUCCACAGUCCAGCUGUUCAACUGAGCCCGACAGAGGAUGCCUGGCUAGCUGUUUAAUUCCUACAGUGCUGGUCUAAAGUCUGCUAUAGCAUGACGGAACGGGCUGAUGACGUAUCAUGUCUGCACAAAUGGUGCACAGAGAAAUGAUAGAAUAAUGAAUGGGAACUCCUACACGUAAUGCUCCAAUCAAACAGACUUUGAGCUGAAGAAGACACACUGAUCCAGAGAAAAGCACACAUGCUCUGG